rnacentral:rRNA from 1 species
GCUUACGGCCAUACCACCCUGAGCGCGCCCGAUCUCGUCUGAUCUCGGAAGCUAAGCAGGGUCGGGCCUGGUUAGUACUUGGAUGGGACACCGCCUGGGAAUACCAGGUCCUGCAAGCU